AUGUAUAAGAUGAGAAAACUGUGGUGUGCUCCAUAUCUUGAGGCCCGUUGUUUCCUAGGAUUGAGCAGCAAUCAGCGGAGUGAGAGUUUAAACUCGAUGCUACAUACGCAUCUUGAGGCUAAGAUGACGUUGCUUCAAAUGCUAGAGCACUAUGAGCAUUGCCUUGAGUCACGGCGCUUGAACGAGGCUCUCCAAGACGUCGAGGCCUUGCAGUCCGUUCCAUUCACAGAGGAAAAUGCAUCAGUUCUUGAGAAACACACCGCAGAAGUUUUCACUCCUGCUGUGUUUAAGUUGGUCUUAUGGAGCAUAGAUGCUGUCAAAAAAUGUGAGAUCAGAGAGGUACUUGAUGCAGUAGAGGUUACCACAUACGUUGUGUCUAAGAAGGAAAGAAUGGAUAAAAAGUUCGAAGUGCGCACGGAGUCGAAGGAAGGUCUGCUUCGCAGUAUCAGUUGUUCUUGCCGCAAAUUGGAAUGUGCAUGCACAUCAUGUUUCCACAUAUUUUACAUAUUGGGAAUUUUACAAGAAGAAACACUGCCCAGGUGUUGUGUUCCCACUAGGUGGACAAUGAGUGCAAAAUGUGCAUUCGCACCGACCAGAAAGAGCGAGAUGUAUGCAUACUCUGCAGCCCUACAAAGGUACCGUAAGCUAAGGAAUUUUAGUCACGCAGCAUGUUUCAAGGCAUGCCACUCUGAUGAGGCGUUUCAGCAUCUAAAAAGGUUUUUGGAAGGACAAACGGUUUGCAAGGGAUCAACAAGUGAACAAGCUGAUAGCAAGGGAUCAACUAAUGCUCAGGGUAACAGCAUUAGGUUUGGCCCGUUGAUGCCACAAUUGGCUAACCUUGACGGUGAAGGUUUCGAAAAGGUUCUGGAUCCCGUGCAUGUGCUAGGCCGAGCUGCUCCGAAGAAAAGGCUACACGCAAAGAUGAAGAAAACCAGAACAAAGGGUAGAUGUAGCUAUUGUCAUGAGGCAGAUGCAUGGUCACAAUCGACGAUCUCAAAGCAGAACUAUGAUAGCUAG
rnacentral:rRNA from 1 species